ACAGUGGACGCGAGCAUCUGUGGCCAAGUUUUUAAGGGCGCACGGUGGAUGCCUUGGCACCAGGAACCGAUGAAGGACGUGGGAGGCCACGAUAGUCCCCGGGGAGUCGUCAACCAGGCUUUGAUCCGGGGGUUUCCGAAUGGGGAAACCCGGCAGUCGUCAUGGGCUGUCACCCGCUGCUGAACUCAUAGGCAGUGUGGAGGGAACGCGGGGAAGUGAAACAUCUCAGUACCCGCAGGAAGAGAAAACAACCGUGAUUCCGGGAGUAGUGGCGAGCGAAACUGGAUGAGGCCAAACCGUAUGUGUGUGAUACCCGGCAGGGGUUGCGCAUGCGGGGUUGUGGGAUCUCUCUUCCACGGUCUGCCGGCCGUGGGACGAGUCAGAAACCGUUGAUGUAGGCGAAGGACAUGCGAAAGGUCCGGCGUAGAGGGUAAGACCCCCGUAGUCGAAAC
rnacentral:rRNA from 2 species